GACGAAGGGGGCUAGCGUUGUUCGGAAUUACUGGGCGUAAAGGGCGCGUAGGCGGCCAUCUAAGUCAGACGUGAAAUCCCCAAGCUUAACUUGGGAACUGCAUCCGAUACUGGAUGGCUUGAAUCCGGGAGAGGGAUGCAGAAUUCCAGGUGUAGCGGUGAAAUGCGUAGAUAUCUGGAGGAAUACCGGUGGCGAAGGCGGCAUCCUGGACCGGCAUUGACGCUGAGGAGCGAAAGCUAGGGGAGCAAACGGG
rnacentral:rRNA from 1 species